AGAGUUUGAUCCUGGCUCAGAACGAACGCUGGCGGCAGGCUUAACACAUGCAAGUCGAGCGCACUCUUCGGGACCGAGCGGCGGACGGGUUAGUAACGCGUGGGAACGUGCCCUUCUCUAAGGAAUAGCCUCGGGAAACUGAGAGUAAUACCUUAUACGCCCUUCGGGGGAAAGAUUUAUCGGAGAAGGAUCGGCCCGCGUUAGAUUAGAUAGUUGGUGGGGUAAUGGCCUACCAAGUCUACGAUCUAUAGCUGGUUUUAGAGGAUGAUCAGCAACACUGGGACUGAGACACGGCCCAGACUCCUACGGGAGGCAGCAGUGGGGAAUCUUGGACAAUGGGCGCAAGCCUGAUCCAGCCAUGCCGCGUGAGUGAUGAAGGCCUUAGGGUCGUAAAGCUCUUUCGCCAGAGAUGAUAAUGACAGUAUCUGGUAAAGAAACCCCGCUAACU
rnacentral:rRNA from 1 species